rnacentral:rRNA from 1 species
GACAGAGGCCUCAAGCGUUAGGCGGAAUCACUGGGCUUAAAGCGUGUGUAGGCGGAUCGUUAAGUGUCUUGUGAAAUCCCACGGCUCACCCGUGGAACGGCUGGGCAUACUGGCGAUCUUGGGCCAACUAGGGGCAACUGGAACAAGCGGUGGAGCGGUGAAAUGCGUAGAUAUCGUUUGGAACGCCAAAGGUGAAAACAGACAGCUGGGAGUGUGCGAUGACGCUGAGACACGAAAGCCAGGGGAGCGAACGGG